AUCACUUCUCGGCCUUUUGGCUAAGAUCAAGUGUAGUAUCACUACAGAGUUGUGGCCUUGGGAUUUGAGAUAUCCAUUCCAUGCUGAGUGGACAAGGUACAGGAAAAGAGAGAUGAGAAGGAAUACCACAUACUUCAACUCUGUUUUUUUUUUUAAGAUUUAUUAUUACUACUAUUAUUAUUGGAAAUGACUACCA